CCUACGGGAGGCUGCAGUGAGGAAUAUUGGUCAAUGGACGAGAGUCUGAACCAGCCAAGUAGCGUGAAGGAUGACUGCCCUAUGGGUUGUAAACUUCUUUUAUAUGGGAAUAAAAUGUUCCACGUGUGGGAUUUUGUAUGUACCAUAUGAAUAAGGAUCGGCUAACUCCGUGCCAGCAGCCACGGUAAUACGGAGGAUCCGAGCGUUAUCCGGAUUUAUUGGGUUUAAAGGGAGCGUAGGUGGAUUGUUAAGUCAGGUGGGAAAGUUUGCGGCUCAACCGUAAAAUUGCAGUUGAAACUGGAAGUCUUGAGUACAGUAGAGGUGAGGGGAAUUCGUGGUGGAGCGGUGAAAUGCUUAGAUAUCACGAAGAACUCCGAUUGCGAAGGCAACUCAAUGGACUGCAACUGACACUGAGGCUCGAAAGUGUGGGUAUCAAACAGGAUUAGAUACCCGUGUAGUC
rnacentral:rRNA from 1 species